rnacentral:rRNA from 1 species
UGGAUCCAGACUUUGAUCCUGGCUCAGGACGAACGCUGGCGGCGUGCCUAACACAUGCAAGUCGAACGAAGCUUGAUUUAUGAUUUCUUCGAAAUGAAUAAUGAUAUGACUGAGUGGCGGACGGGUGAGUAACGCGUGAGCAACCUGCCCUUCGGAACGGGAUAGCGUCUGGAAACGGACGGUAAUACCGUAUAACGUAUUUUUACCGCAUGAUAGAAAUACCAAAACUGAGGUGCCGAAGGAUGGGCUCGCGUCUGAUUAGAUAGUUGGUGGGGUAACGGCCUACCAAGUCGACGAUCAGUAGCCGGACUGAGAGGUUGAACGGCCACAUUGGGACUGAGACACGGCCCAGACUCCUACGGGAGGCAGCAGUGGGGAAUAUUGCACAAUGGGGGAAACCCUGAUGCAGCAACGCCGCGUGAAGGAAGACGGUUUUCGGAUUGUAAACUUCUGUUCUUAGUGAAGAUAAUGACGGUAGCUAAGGAGCAAGCCACGGCUAACUACGUGCCAGCAGCCGCGGUAAUACGUAGGUGGCAAGCGUUGUCCGGAAUUACUGGGUGUAAAGGGAGCGUAGGCGGGAAGCCAAGUCAGCUGUGAAAACUACGGGCUUAACCUGUAGACUGCAGUUGAAACUGGUUUUCUUGAGUGAAGUAGAGGUUGGCGGAAUUCCGAGUGUAGCGGUGAAAUGCGUAGAUAUUCGGAGGAACACCGGUGGCGAAGGCGGCCAACUGGGCUUUAACUGACACUGAGGCUCGAAAGUGUGGGGAGCAAACAGGAUUAGAUACCCUGGUAGUCCACACUGUAAACGAUGAUAACUAGGUGUGGGGGGUCUGACCCCUUCCGUGCCGCAGCUAACGCAAUAAGUUAUCCACCUGGGGAGUACGACCGCAAGGUUGCAACUCAAAUGAAUUGACGGA